CCCGGCUAGAUUAAAUUUAUCAAAAAGAGAUGAGGUAUAUUUAAAAUAAUGUAAAAAUGUAUGUAUUAAAUAUAAAAUAAUUCUUUUGAAUAAUAUAAAUGUUUUAAAACUAUGUAAAGAUAUAUGUAUAUUAAAUAUAUGAAUAGAAUAAAUUGUUAUAAAAUAUGUAAAGGACAUAUAUAAAAAUGUAUAAGUGAAUGUGAAAAGAAAAAGUAUUUUAUAAUGUAUGAAAAAGAAACGUAUUUUGAUGUGCCAUGAAAAGAAAAAGUAUUUACCAUUAAUACUUUUGAUCUGAUUAAAAUUACGGGGAAAAGUAAAAUUUAUUUGAUAAGAAAAGGCUAUAUAAUAUAUGAAUUACUUGAUUAACUUGAUUCUUUUAUGUAAGUGCAUCAAAAUAAUAUAUAUGUUUUGUCGUAAAAAAUAUAAACAAAAGCAUAUUAGUAUAUGUAUGUAAAGAAAAGAUAAGAUUAUAUAAAGAAAAAUCGUUCCAAAGGAUAAGCCUACGUAAUAUUUUUUAAUGUAAAAAGUAUAAAUUAUUUGAUUAAAUAAUCUAAGUCAAUCUAAUAUUUUUAUAUAAAUAUUAACGAAUUAAAUUUGCCUAAACGCGUGGUGAAGAUUAAAUAAAGAAUAUCCAGCUCAACACCCCAAAAAAUAAAGUUUUCACUAUGAUUAACAUUUGUACAAGUGAAAGAAUAUAAAAGAAUAAACACUCAAUUUAAAGUCUUCUUUAAAUGUCAUCCCGACAAGUAUUCCCAGUAACCUGUAUAAACACUUGUAACAAAAAUGUUAAUAACAAAUAAAUAAUACUCAAAAUAAAAUAAAAAAAUAUGUGCAUAUACGUAUUUAAAAAUAUAUUUUUUGUUAGUGAGUGGGCUCAAAUAAAGUUUUAAAAUAUAAUAAAAAUUUCGUCAUCGCCCAAAAAUAUUUAUUUUUUGUUACGUAUUUGUAUACAUAAUGUCUGUCUUUUAUUUGGGAAGGACUCAAAAACUGAUGGGGAUUUCUUCAUUGGCCAUGUGUCGGCACUUCGUAUAAACUAAUAAAUUUAAGAAAAAAUAGUAUCCGUCUUUCGUAAUGUGAUGACCUCAAAUAUCCAGACGGGAAAAUAAUUUCAUUGACCACAGUGUUUAUUUUGAUGCAAAAUAAGUAACCUUGAGGAAUAAAAUUCCAUAUCUAUUUUCGAUAUAAAAUAAAUAAUUUCAUUGGCCAUGUGUCGAUUUUUGAUAUAAAUAGUAAAUUAGAAAAGGUAAAGUUCGCCUUUGUAAUGGGAUGGCCUCAAAUAUUCCGACGGAGAGAUAAUUUCAUUGGCCGUGUAGUACAGUAUUUUUUUCUUUUCCAAAUCAGCAAAACAUAUAAAAAAUGAAGCGCUAUGAGGGUGAAAAUGUCCAGAAAUCAGCCCGUAAAGCAGCCAACAACAACAGUGACAAACGAAGGCAGGCAUACUUCCCCGAUAAGAUGCAAGAUUAAAUCCAAACAGGCCAUAGACAAAGAUAGAAAUAAUAAGAUCAUGGCAGUGAACAUAUAGUCAUAAACAGUGAUAACAGUAGCAUUAACCAACGGCAAGAGAGGACAUCAAAGUUCGCCUAUUUUAAUAGAGCCUUGUUGGAGAACGAGCAACCAAAGCUAGAUCUGUAGAGGUUUUAGAGCAACAUAAAAUUAACAAUCACAAUAAUUGAAGAAAAUGGAGACAAAGUGCUACAAUAGUGGGGGCAGCGGUGUUGUUUCCGGCUGGAUCUCGCCGGCCACAACUCCGGCCAGACAACCAUGGCGUUGUGGUUGCAUCAGAAGUGAGGGGCGACGCGUGGUAUGCUUGGUAGCUGGAAGCUCGCCUGUUGGCAGCCAAAUCUGGUGAGGCAACGUGAAAAAUGAAAAAGGGAGAGGGGGAAGGGGAGAGAGAGAGUGUGAAGGGUCGUCGUGUGGUUGCUUUUGCUGAUGGAGGUGUGUGGUUGGGCGUUGGUGGUGGCAGCCAGCCGUCCGGUGUUCAAUUCCGACGGUCGGUGGUGAGAGAGAAAGGGGAGAAGAGAAGAGAGAUGUGAGAUUUAUGUAUUUGUGCGUGUAGUGUGUGUGUGUUGGUGCGUAUAUAUUAUUAUUUCCAAAGAAUUGUGUUGUUCCCCCUUUUUGAAGGGGAGAGGGUAGAAAAUAAAAUCUAUCCUUUGAAAUUUUGUCCCCCUUUUGUGUGUAAUUAUUAUACUGUGUAAAAAUAAAUUAUCUGAUUCAGUGUUUGUGGAUCGUAAAAAUACAAAAAUUAAUUUGUAAUUAUGGAAAAAUAAAAAAAAAAACAUGUUGAGAAUAUUGAAAAAAUGUAAUUAAUUUAAAAAUGUUAUAAAAAUAUGAUGUUCUGUCCUGCAGGUGUGU
rnacentral:lncRNA from 1 species